UACGUAGGAUCCGAGCGUUGUCCGGAUUUACUGGGUGUAAAGGGUGCGCAGGCGGACUGGUGAGUCUGGGGUGAAAUCUCGCUGCUUAACAGCGAAACUGCCUUAGAUACUAUCAGUCUUGGAUAAGCGAGAGGUUCGUGGAAUUCCGAGUGUAGCAGUGAAAUGUGUAGAUAUUCGGAAGAACACCAGUGGCGAAGGCAGCGAACUGGCGCUUUAUCGACGCUCAUGCACGAAAGCAUGGGGGAUCAAACAGG
rnacentral:rRNA from 1 species